rnacentral:rRNA from 1 species
AUAAAUAGUGCCACCCUAAACAAGCCCAAUCCCAUCUGAUCUCGGAAGCUAAGAAGGGUCAGGCCUGGUUAGUACUUGGAUAGGAGACCACCUAGCAAGACCAGGUGCUAUAGGUG